rnacentral:rRNA from 1 species
CGGGGGGAAAGCUUACACAUGCAGUCGAGCGGGGGAGGUAGCUUGCUACUGGACCUAGCGGCGGACGGGUGAGUAAUGCUUAGGAAUCUGCCUAUUAGUGGGGGACAACAUCUCGAAAGGGAUGCUAAUACCGCAUACGUCCUACGGGAGAAAGCAGGGGAUCUUCGGACCUUGCGCUAAUAGAUGAGCCUAAGUCGGAUUAGCUAGUUGGUGGGGUAAAGGCCUACCAAGGCGACGAUCUGUAGCGGGUCUGAGAGGAUGAUCCGCCACACUGGGACUGAGACACGGCCCAGACUCCUACGGGAGGCAGCAGUGGGGAAUAUUGGACAAUGGGGGGAACCCUGAUCCAGCCAUGCCGCGUGUGUGAAGAAGGCCUUAUGGUUGUAAAGCACUUUAAGCGAGGAGGAGGCUACUUUAGUUAAUACCUAGAGAUAGUGGACGUUACUCGCAGAAUAAGCACCGGCUAACUCUGUGCCAGCAGCCGCGGUAAUACAGAGGGUGCGAGCGUUAAUCGGAUUUACUGGGCGUAAAGCGUGCGUAGGCGGCUUAUUAAGUCGGAUGUGAAAUCCCCGAGCUUAACUUGGGAAUUGCAUUCGAUACUGGUGAGCUAGAGUAUGGGAGAGGAUGGUAGAAUUCCAGGUGUAGCGGUGAAAUGCGUAGAGAUCUGGAGGAAUACCGAUGGCGAAGGCAGCCAUCUGGCCUAAUACUGACGCUGAGGUACGAAAGCAUGGGGAGCAAACAGGAUUAGAUACCCUGGUAGUCCAUGCCGUAAACGAUGUCUACUAGCCGUUGGGGCCUUUGAGGCUUUAGUGGCGCAGCUAACGCGAUAAGUAGACCGCCUGGGGAGUACGGUCGCAAGACUAAAACUCAAAUGAAUUGACGGGGGCCCGCACAAGCGGUGGAGCAUGUGGUUUAAUUCGAUGCAACGCGAAGAACCUUACCUGGCCUUGACAUACUAGAAACUUUCCAGAGAUGGAUUGGUGCCUUCGGGAAUCUAGAUACAGGUGCUGCAUGGCUGUCGUCAGCUCGUGUCGUGAGAUGUUGGGUUAAGUCCCGCAACGAGCGCAACCCUUUUCCUUACUUGCCAGCAUUUCGGAUGGGAACUUUAAGGAUACUGCCAGUGACAAACUGGAGGAAGGCGGGGACAACGUCAAGUCAUCAUGGCCCUUACGGCCAG